UGCUCCAGGCGAGGCUCGAACUCGCAACCCCGGCAUGUCUCCACAGAAUACUGUCUAUAAGUACCGUGCGCUAACCGAUUGCGCCACUGGAGC
rnacentral:tRNA from 1 species